rnacentral:tRNA from 1 species
GGAUUUUAACAUUACCACGCUUGCUUCACACGCAAGAGGUCCACGGUUCGAGUCCGUGCGUGUCCA